rnacentral:rRNA from 1 species
UACGUAGGCAGCAAGCGUUGUUCGGAAUUACUGGGCGUAAAGAGUGUGUAGGCGGUGCUCUAAGUUUGGUGUGAAAUCUCCCGGCUCAACUGGGAGGGUGCGCCGGAUACUGAGGGGCUAGAGUGUGGGAGAGGAAAGUGGAAUUCCUGGUGUAGCGGUGAAAUGCGUAGAUAUCAGGAGGAACACCGGUGGUGUAAACGGCUUUCUGGACCAUAACUGACGCUGAGGCACGAAAGCCAGGGGAGCAAACGGG